AAGUCGUAACAAGGUUUCCGUAGGUGAACCUGCGGAAGGAUCAUUACCAAAAAAUCCAAUACCAACCCCUUUGUGUGAACUCUUUGAAUGUAUUUUGGGGUAGAAAAAGAAGUAAAAAUAAAUUUUUUUACCCCACCUUUUUUUACCCCAACCUCAUUAACACUAAUCAAACAACUUUUUAUUAGGAAGAAAUUCCUGGUAAAGGUCCUUUAUUAACAAAUUUUUUUCUUAUCAAAAAAUAUUUUAAAAGUUAAAACAACUUUUAACGGUGGAUCUCUUGGCUCGU
rnacentral:misc_RNA from 1 species